rnacentral:rRNA from 1 species
AUUGAACGCUGGCGGCAUGCUAUACACAUGCAGGUCGAACGGUAACAGGCCGCAAGGUGCUGACGAGUGGCGAACGGGUGAGUAAUGCAUCGGAACGUGCCCCGUCGUGGGGGAUAACGCAGCGAAAGCUGCGCUAAUACCGCAUACGAUCUCUGGAUGAAAGCGGGGGACCGAAAGGCACCGCGCGAUUGGAGCGGACGAUGUCAGAUUAGGUAGUUGGUGGGGUAAAGGCCCACCAAGCCAACGAUCUGUAGCUGGUCUGAGAGGACGACCAGCCACACUGGGACUGAGACACGGCCCAGACUCCUACGGGAGGCAGCAGUGGGGAAUUUUGGAUAAUGGGCGCAAGCCUGAUCCAGCAAUGCCGCGUGCAGGAAGAAGGCCUUCGGGUUGUAAACUGCUUUUGUACGGAACGAAACGGUCCGGGUUAAUACCCUGGGCUAAUGACGGUACCGUAAGAAUAAGCACCGGCUAACUACGUGCCAGCCGCCGCGGUAA